rnacentral:rRNA from 1 species
GUGUCGUCAGCUCGUGUCGUGAGAUGUUGGGUUAAGUCCCGCAACGAGCGCAACCCUUAUCAUUAGUUGCUACGCAAGGGCACUCUAAUGAGACUGCCGGUGACAAACCGGAGGAAGUGGGGAUGACGUCAAGUCCUCAUGGCCCUUAUGGGUAGGGCUUCACACGUCAUACAAUGGUCGGUACAGAGGGUUGCCAAGCCGCGAGGUGGAGCCAAUCCCAGAAAGCCGAUCGUAGUCCGGAUUGUUCUCUGCAACUCGAGAGCAUGAAGUCGGAAUCGCUAGUAAUCGCGGAUCAGCAUGUCGCGGUGAAUACGUUCCCGGGUCUU